AAGAGAAGCAGAGGAAAGUUUGGAGGAGUGCUGCGGUGGGCUAAGAAGUCCAAGACCCUAGUUUUCCUGUACCCGUGCCAGUGGAAAUCCUCAAGGCAGGUGUUCCAUAUUUGGGGUCCUGAAUUAAGAAGGGCCUGGAUGGAAACCAAGGAUACCUAAGCCAGCUACAGCGGCCUUGAAGAACCAUAUUGGGAGAGAAUUAUCCUCGGGCACCAGAAAGAUUGAUGUCCCCCUCUACUGAAAGAAUGGAAGGAGAAUCUGUCUUAUCAGAUAUGACUACCUGUACAAGAGGAUGGCUUUAGCAUAAAGCCUAAUAUUGACAGAUUGAACAGAAGAUAGAAAGCUUUUUUUGAUCUUAUGGAACCAGAGGGACCAAACUAGUGAGUUGCUUAGCACCUCUUCAAUGGUACUAUGUCACAUAAUCAUUUGUACUAUCAUAGCAUUUAAAGGCCUAGGACACCAUUGUGCUAGGUGUUGUAUAAACAAGGAUAGACACAUUUUCUACCAAAACAUCUUACUAGUUAAUUUGUAACAAGACCCAACAUUUGAGUGUGACAAACAAAAUGGGGAGGAGUUAAGAGCAAGGAGGAUGGCAAUGACAAUGUAAUCUUGAAGUUAUGUGGUCAGCUAUCUGCAUACCUCCAUGGUUCCAAAAUAAUAUAGAUAUUUCCAACUUCUGAUCCAGCUAGUCUUCACUGUUUUGCUAACAUCUUGCAGGGAUUCAAAGAAGGUAGUGGUUUCAGGCCCUGAUUCACCUAUCUAACC